UCCCGGCGGUCCAAGUCGCAUCCACAAUUAUUGGGUCUAAAACAUUCGUAGCUUGUUUUGUAAGUCUCUUGUGAAAUCCCAUAUCUCAAGUAUGGGCCGUGCAAGAGAUACUGCUUGACUAGAGACUGGAAGACGCAAAGAGUACGAUGGAGGUAGUGGUAAAAUAUGUUAAUCUUCAUCGGACUAACAAUGGCGAAGGCACUUUGCGAGUACAGAUCUGACAGUGAGGAAUGAAGGCUAGGGGCGCAAAAGG
rnacentral:rRNA from 1 species